rnacentral:lncRNA from 1 species
UGUUCCAGAGGAAAAAGGACUAACUUUGUAAAAUGUAAGUAUUAUGUUUAUUUAUUCACAAAAUUAUGUUAAAAUGUUCAACAAAUUACUUUCAUAUGAAUUUUGAAUUCAGGCAAUCUCAUCCUGGUUAUCAGCUGUUUUAGGGAUGACAAACUAAACAAACUAAUCGUAAAAUCAACGGUGUCAAUUGUGAAAACCCAGACAGUUUUUAAAAAAUCCUGAAUUAGUGAACGAGCUAGCCAGCUAAUGAGAAAUGUAGGAAUUAGUUCGUUUCACAUUUGUUUUCAAGGACAGAUGGCAACUGAUGUGUUAAUUUCACUCCAUGGCUUUGGCAGGACAAAAUAGUCAUGGCCGACUGGUUUGGAGGUGAUGGAUACUCUGUCCAUGCUUUCUUACUCCACGGUCGCGCAACAGGCAGGAAUCAAGCCCUUUCCAACAGAGGAGAGUCUGAAAGACGAGGAUAUUUACAGUCAUCUGAAGGACCUGAUUGAGUAAGUCUGUUGAUCUCUCCAUAUGGACAUUUAAUUUCAUCUAUCCAUAUAUACCAUUGAUAAACAGUAUGUACAGUUGAAGUCGGAAGUUUACAUACACCUCGGCCAAAUACAUUUAAACUCAGUUUUUCACAAUUCCUGACAUUUAAUCCUAGUAAAAAUUCCCUGUCUUAGGUCAGUUAGGAUCACCACUUUAUUUUAAGAAUGUGAAAUGUCAGAAUAAUAGAGAGAAUGAUUUAUUUAAACUUUUAUUCCUUUCAUCACAUUCCCAGUGUGUCAGAAGUUUACAUACACUCAAUUAGUAUUUGGUAGCAUUGCCUUUAAAUUGUUUAACUUGGGUCAAACGUUUCGGGUAGCCUUCCACAUGCCUCCCACAAUAAAUUGGGUGAAUUUUGGCCCAUUCCUUCUGACAGAGCUGGUGUAACUGAGUCAGGUUGGUAGGCCUCCUUGCUCGCACACGCUUUUUCAGUUCUGCCCACAAAUUUUCUAUAGGAUUGAGGUCAGGGCUUUGUGAUGUCCACUCUAAUACCUUGACUUUGUUGUCCUUAAGCCAUUUUGCCACAACUUUGGAAGUAUGCUUGGGGUCAUAGUCCAUUUGGAAGACCCAUUUUACAACCAAGCUUUAAC